GCGCCCGUAGCUCAGGGGAUAGAGCGGCUGCCUUCUAAGCAGUAGGUCGGAGGUUCGAAUCCUCCCGGGCGUACCA
rnacentral:tRNA from 2 species